rnacentral:rRNA from 1 species
GACGAACGCUGGCGGCGUGCCUAACACAUGCAAGUCGAACGGACAGGCCAGGCUUGCAGGGCACUCGCGUGGCGAACGGGCGAGUAAGAAGCGGGUGAUCUGCCCUGCUCUUCGGGUUAAGUCAGGGAAACUGGGUCUAAUAACGGCCAGGAGAUAUAUUUAGUGUGAUGGUUGGAAAGUUUUAUCGGUGUAGGAUGAGCUUGCGGCCUAUCUGCUUGCCGGGGGGGUAAUGGCCUACCAAGGCGGCGACGGGUAGCAGGCCUGAGAGGGUGGACGGCGACAUUGGGACUGAGAGACGGCCCAGACUCCGACUGGGGGCAGCAGUGGGGAAGAUUGCACAAUGGGCGCAGGCCUGAUGCAGCGACGCCGCGGGUGGGAUGACGGCCUUCGUGUUGUAAACUCCUUGCGCUAGUGACGAAGCUUGUUGUGACGGUACCUAGAUAAGAAGCACCGGCUAACUACGUG